ACUAACUACAUGUAGUGAGUUCUGCUAUCAGUGGGAGGCACUGUUGUCAAACAGUGCUUCAUCUUACACAAGUUUAAACCAGUGAUUCCCAACCAAUUGGCCAAACACAAGAGGUCAUUGGGUGUACCAUGGGAAAUGAUCCAGUUUCACUUACCGGUAAUUAAUCCCGCUGGGAUUGUCUUCCUUCAACGCCUGCAAACUGAAUUUGUAAAAUUGUGAGUAAAGUGAGAAGUGACCAUUAUUUGAACAUACAUCUUUCUUUGUAACAUUUUUGUUCGGGGUGUGCUGUCGUGCUGUAAGUUGUUUUGUUUUGGGGGUGGGGGGGUUCCUCUCAUUUAAAAUAUGUGCUCAAUGGGGGUUGGGAAACACUAGUCUAAAUUACAGGUCCCACAAUAAAAUCACAUUCAUUUAUAAAUUCACACCGUUCAUGUCAGUCCUGAGUGUUUUAUACAGAAAUCCUUGGUUCUGUUGAGUGUAACUUAUCUGCCAGUGAGAUUCAGUUCUUUCAUUAAAGUGCCUGUUAGAGAGGCUGCUAUUCUCUUAGUGAAUGUGGAAAAAGUCGUAUUCACAUUGUUGUCAUCACAAUAUGAAAAUUGUGACAAUUGAAGAAAGAAAUGUGACAUUUUAUAUAAAGUACUGUAUUUUCAGUACUGUACAAAAGUCUUAGGACACCAAAAGAUUUAUCAUAACAGUAAUUAUUAGGGCUAGGAAAAAGUAUCGUUUUGCAAUAUAUCGCGAUACUUUUUAAAAUGCUAUUUAUUUAUUUAGCUAUCUAUUUAUCUAUUUAUUUAUUUAUUUAUUGCUGAACCCAGGGAUUGAUACUUUAAGUGAGUGUUGAUACUUUAAGGUACCUUAUUUGGGGUUUUUUCCUGGGUUUGAAAUGUCCUACUGUGUUUGAACACACCUUGUUUCUCAAGCCAAUUGCAAGAGACAUCAUAGUUUAUUCCCCUUAUGAGCCUGUCUGUUUGAACAACAACGGUUGAGUGUACAGUAUUGCAAACUAUAAGACAAACAUUGGGUGACAAGCAUCUAUCUGCCUGUCACAUAGAAUGAGUAAUCAGCCCACUGUUGCGGCUUUUAUUCAGGUGUGUUCCAGAAAUUAUGAUAAUCCCGUUGAGAAUAUACAGUCUUCUGGUAGUUAUUGUUAGUAUAGCGCAGUUUAAAUAUAUAAGGACCAGCAGAGGUUUACAGGGACCUUUCACUUAUUAUCAAACAAUAAAUUGGUCCGGUUUGAGUUUCCAGCUAUUUAUUGAAUAUUUACUAGCCCCGGCAUUCCUCUGGAAUAUUUUGAAAACUGUAUAAUAUCAUUGAAUGGUUGAAGCAUUUUUCAUCCACUGCACAUGGAGCUACUGGGCCGUUUUGCAAAGGGGCCAUUAGAGAAACUUAAAUGGUAUUAUUUUGAUCAACUGCUGUGUGUGUGUGUCUGUGUGUGUGUGUGUCUGUGUGUGCGUGUGUGUGUGUGUGUGUGUGCGUAAUUAUAACUGCAACUGCAACCACUCAUCAAUUUAAAUCAGUUUCACAAACAUGACUCUGGAAAUAUUUUGCUUUAAGUAUAUAAACAGUAAUGAAUAACCUUUGAGUAUUUAUGUACCGCCGCAGUUUUUUAAAAAAAAUUAAAUUCAAUGGAUUUUGCUUAGUAUGGCAGUAAGACACUGAAGAAAAUGCUUACUAUUAAGGACUCUAGGGGAAUUGGGAUGACCAGUUCAAAAUGAUGGUCAACAAGGUUGACGUGACCGAAGUCACCCUGACUUCAACAACACUCAUGUUGAGAAAUGCAUACCGUGCCCACACACAGGCUAUGAAGCCGGGUGUAAUACUGUAUUUGCAAAAGCCUGUGACCCAGUAAAAGUUUUUUUUCCAUAGUUCCUGCUCGCCCGCAAAGUUACAUCUCUGUUAUCGUACUUCUGCCGUGUGUUUAGCCUGCAGCAGAUUUUCAAGGAGGCCUCCAGAUGUUAAACAGCUGCAUGAGUCGUGAGUGAAGCCAGUGAUGCUAACAAGAAUUGAUAAGGGCAGCCCUCACGUCACAUUAUAUCUUACGGAAGAGUGAGCAGGUAUCAGGUUCCUCUUGGUAUUUAGCGGAAGAGUCAAGAAACCGCAGCACCAGUCGCACCGACCUCGUCUUCCGGAACACUCAUUCCUUGAGAUGCGUUGCUGAUCUAUGAAUCUUAACCCCUUCCAUUCUGAUUUUUGGAAUCCAACUUACUCUCCAAAUUCUUCUUUCAUAUAAUAUAAUGAGGAUAAAGAAACAAGAGUGACAUGUAGAUUAGCUAAAUUCCUCUAAAAGAAGUCCAGCAGGAUUAUGACCAGGAAGAAACAAUAGUAUCUAUAGUACCUUUACAGUUGUCUGAGUAUUAGUGGAAAAACUUUUCAUUAUGUUUGAAUUUAUUAUAUUGGAAGUUCAGUGGACUUGCAGUCUUGCACCCGCGGAAUUGCAUAUUCAUGGGUUUUUGUUUUUUCCAAAAUUAAAAAAUAUAUAUUUUUGAUGUAUUUUUUAAAAUGUAUUUGCUGUUUUUGUGUCCAGGCAACAGCACUGUUUUGAGUGGCAUGUUGGUGUAAAGCAGUGCUUCUCAAUUGUUUUCUGUCAUGACCCCCUCCCAAAUAAGCAGCUAAAUUGAUUUUUAAACACCAAAUUUCAUAUUACUUGAAGAAACAACUUGUCCUUCACCACAUUAUGUGUGAUAUAGUUCUCCCUCUUCACUUGGAUUUCUAUAGCUUAAGAAAAGGAAAAAAUGUGCGAAAAUGAGUUAUGGGUGCAUUUGUAUUCAUUCCAAUGACUAAAGUUGUUUUCUUUUUUUUCCCCCCGGUAAACUAUUUAGGACAAUAGAAGACAAAAAUAUGAAAAAUAAGAUAACACAUUCAACUAAUUAGCACAUGUAGCGCAGUAUGCAAGUGCACUGCCUUGCAGAUAUAUUUCUUUCACCUAUAGCACACAGUAUGUGUUUUAUGCUGCUGAGGACCAUGUUAUUUUGCCAUUUUUUUUAAAGGAAAGUCUCUCAGCUUCAGAGAUGUCUUCUUGUUCUAAAGAUGAUUCAUCAUACUCUGGGUUAUAUUCCUCCCCAUCUUCUUCUGUUAAAUCCUCUACUUCCUCUUCUGAAUCAGUUUUCUUGCUGGACAGCAGAAAAAAUCAGCUCUAGAGCCUUUUCAAUGUCAUAACGCACACUCAUGGCGUCAGCACAGAGAGAAUUCGGAGUCUUGUCAUCUGUGGCACCUUUAUAACCCCGUGAAAUCCACAAAAAAGAGUUCUGCCAUCUACGAGAACGCCACCCAUCUUGUCUUGUUUAUGUCUGCUACUGUCUUGUUCACGUGUUCUACUAAUUUGAUCUGAGACACAACUAAAACAUUGAAAAAUUCAAUGGUGUAUAAAUAACUUUGUGACCUUGAUUUCAACACUUUUUGCCUCAUGGGUCAUUUUGACCCGAAGACCACCUUUGUACUUUUUUUUGGUACAGCUUCCUUGGAAAUGUGAAUAAAAACAACACUUCAAUUUUUCUGCAGUUGGGGCCAAUCUAGGAAAAGUCAUAAAAUUUCAAGUUAAAAAUAUAAUUUAGGGGGAUUUGGGGGCGUUUUUAACACAGUGACGGGUCAUUUUGACCCGAGGACAACAGCAGGGUUAAAUCAAAGAUGAUGUCUGGAUUAAUGGCUACAAGUAGCAGUCACAAAGCGGGAUGGUUGUUGGCAAUAUUCGGCACGUUUUCGCUGAAAAAAACUCAAGCCGCUUAUCAGCGUGAUUGGGGUGUACUGUAAUGUCUUUAAUUGCAAAACCUUUUCAGGUUUUGCUGUCAAUGACACACAGAUUUUUGGUCUUCGUGGCAGGACUCAGUCCCUAUUCCCAGCACAUAGAAGGGGUUCACUGUAUUUUCUCAUCUCAGAAUUUUUAUUCAACUUGAAAUGCC